GCGGGGAUAGCUCAGUUGGGAGAGCGUCAGACUGAAGUCCAACUUCAAUCAUAUUAUCUGAAGGUCGUGCGUUCGAUCCGCACUCACCGCA